rnacentral:rRNA from 1 species
AUACGGAGGGUGCGAGCGUUAAUCGGAAUAACUGGGCGUAAAGGGCACGCAGGCGGUGACUUAAGUGAGGUGUGAAAGCCCCGGGCUUAACCUGGGAAUUGCAUUUCAUACUGGGUCGCUAGAGUACUUUAGGGAGGGGUAGAAUUCCACGUGUAGCGGUGAAAUGCGUAGAGAUGUGGAGGAAUACCGAAGGCGAAGGUAGCCCCUUGGGAAUGUACUGACGCUCAUGUGCGAAAGCGUGGGGAGCAAACAGGAUUAGAUACCCUGGUAGUCCACGCUGUAAACGAUGUCGAUUUGGGGGUUGAGCUUUAAGCUUGGCGCCCGUAGCUAACGUGAUAAAUCGACCGCCUGGGGAGUACGGCCGCAAGGUUAAA